AACCUAGGGACGCAGCAGUAGGGAAUCUUCUACAAUGGGCGAAAGCCUGAUGGAGCAACGCCGCGUGGGUGAAGAAGGUCUUCGGAUCGUAAAACCCUGUUGUUAGAGAAGAAAGUGCGUGAGAGUAACUGUUCACAUUUCGACGGUAUCUAACCAGAAAGCCACGACUAACUACGUGCCAGCAGCCGCGGUAAUACGUAGGUGGCAAGCGUUAUCCGGAUUUAUUGGGCGUAAAGGGAACGCAGGCGGUCUUUUAAGUCUGAUGUGAAAGCCUUCGGCUUAACCGGAGUAGUGCAUUGGGAACU
rnacentral:rRNA from 1 species